rnacentral:rRNA from 1 species
UACGGGGGGGGGCAAGCGUUGUUCGGAAUUACUGGGCGUAAAGGGCGCGUAGGCGGCUCGCUAAGUCGGAUGUGAAAACUCUGGGCUCAACCCAGAGCCUGCAUUCGAAACUGACGAGCUGGAGUUCUGGAGGGGAAAGCGGAAUUCCUGGUGUAGCGGUGAAAUGCGUAGAUAUCAGGAGGAACACCGGUGGCGAAGGCGGCUUUCUGGACAGAAACUGACGCUGAUGCGCGAAAGCUAGGGGAGCAAACAGG